rnacentral:rRNA from 1 species
CUUCCGCAAUGGGCGCAAGCCUGACGGAGCAACGCCGCGUGGGGGAUGACACCCUUCGGGGCGUAAACCCCUUUUCUUGGGGAAGAAGUCGACUUCGGUCGGUUGACGGUACCCGAGGAAGAAGGCCCGGCUAACCACGUGCCAGCAGCCGCGGUAAUACGUGGGGGCCGAGCGUUGUCCGGAGUUACUGGGCGUAAAGGGCGCGCAGGCGGCGGCGUGGGUCCGGCGUGAAAGCCCCCGGCUCAACCGGGGAACGUCGUCGGGGACCGCGCCGCUUGAGGGCGGCAGGGGCCGGUGGAAUGCCUGGUGUAGUGGUGAAAUGCGUAGAGAUCAGGCGGAACACCCGUGGCGAAGGCGGCCGGCUGGGCCGUCCCUGACGCUGAGGCGCGAAGGCGUGGGGAGCGAACGGG